CGGCCCAGUCGGCCGCUGCAUUAGCAUCUCUAGGGCAAAAGCGAACACACAGGGGAGGGAGACGCGAGAUGAGAGCUACAGCUUUGGUCACCAAGGGUCUGAUCUUCCAUGGAGUUUCUGCCGCAUCCCGAACCGCUUCAACAAGGAGAAGACAAUCAGAUUCGAUGAGAGAGACCCUAUUUUCGGAGGAGGUGAUCAGAUGAUUCAGAGUGAAAUUUAGGGCUUCAGCCUCGACCUGCAGUGCGGAAUCUGCAGGUACGAUCUUCGUAAAUCCUUCAAUCAAAUUACCGUUGUGAUCCCGACAAAUAUAGGCUACUGAACCUGUAUUGCUUCCUGGUUGAUAAGCCCCAUCGAUGUUAAUCUUGAGUGCGCCCAGGUCUGGUGGCCGCCAUAGGGUACUGAGAUCAGGACGCCGGUGGGAUGAUCCGAUUCCGGGGACUGCAGCUGAGGCUAGAGCUGCUGUGCGAACCUGUUCAAGAGUGCGAGCAACAACCUGAAUGGGAUCAGGUCUCUGGCGAACAAAGAUGGAGCGAUUACGAGACUUCCAUAUCUGCCAUAAGAGGGUGGCGAUCAACUCCAAACCAGGU
rnacentral:lncRNA from 1 species